rnacentral:misc_RNA from 1 species
GUAGAUACUAUAAAAAGAAGGAUGGUUAACAUAACUUGCCUUCAAGAAACUAACUGAAAGGAGAAAAGGCAAGAGAGAUUGGUAACACAAGUUGUAAGUUGAGGUAUUCCGCGUUUGAGAAGAAUAAAAAUAGAGCAGGAAUUCUAGUAAAACCAUGAUUCAAAGAUAUGGUGGUGGAAGUGAAGAGAAUUGGUGACAAAAUUAUCUAUUUGAAAUUAAUAUUGAGAAAGGAGACCUUUAUCAUCAUCAGCAUGUGUGCACCUUAAGUAGGUUUAGACGAGGAAGCUAAAAGUAAAUUUUGGGAAGAUAAGGGUGCUUUGGUUCAAAGGAUUCCCAAUGAUCACAAGAUUUUUGUUAGGGGAGAUUUAAAUGGACAUGUAGGUAGUAGCAAUGAUGGUUUUGAAACGGUGCAUGGGGAAUUCGGACAUGAGAGUAGGAAAAAGAAAGGGAAGACCAUCCUAGAAUUUGCCUUGGCUUAUGAUCUAGCCUUGGCAAACACC